AUGGGAAAAGUGGGAACACACUGCUAUAGCUGCUGUGUGCUGGGUCCUUGGUGUAUAGGCUGUGCAGGGACAAUUCCUGACUGUCCUGAGGUCUCAGCAAAUCUGGCCAGGCAGCCGGAAGAGGUGGUACUGCAGGCCUCCAUCUGCUCAUACCAUCUGUUCAGAGACACAGCUGAAGUCACAGCCUUCCAGAGAAACCUGCUGAGCUGGUAUGACCAAGAGAAGUGGGACCUACCCUGGAGAAGACAGGCGGAGCAUGAAGUGGACCUAGACAAGCGUGCGUAUGUUGUGUGGACCUCAGAGGAUAUGUUGCAGCAGACCCAGGUUGCCACGGUGAUCAACUACUAUACCCGAUGGAUGCAGGUGACUCCAACACUACAGGACCUGGGCAGUGCUUCUGUGGAGGAGGUAAACCAGCUCUGGGCUGGCCUGGGCUACUAUUCUCGAGGCUGGUGACUGCAGGAGGGGGCUUGGAAGGUAGUAGAAGAGCUAGGGGGUCACAUGCCACGUACAGCAGAGGCUCUGAAGCAGCUCCUGCCCGGUGUGGGGCGGUACACAGCUGGGGCCAUUGCUUCCAUUGCCUUUGGCCAGGUGAGCAGCAGUGUGGUGGACGGGAAUGUAGUACAGGUGCUGUACUGUGUUUGAACCAUUGGUGCUGAUCUCAGCAGCACUACUAUUGUCUCCCAGCAGCUCUGGUUGAGCCAGAGCAGCUCUGUCUCACAGCGUCUGCUGGGCAGUCUUGACAUAGAGGAGUGUGCUCCUAACACUGGCCAAUGCCAACUGUGCCCACCUCCCACAGAACAGCCCACGGUCCUUGGGGUCCCCAAAUUCUGCUGGUACAGCAGCCCAAGUCAGAUACUGGAGAGCAGAGGCGUGUGCAGCAAGAGAGGGUUGAAGGAGUAAGCAGCUAAGUAAGGCCUCACUGCUACCUGGCUGCCCUCUCUCUCUGGUCUGCUGGCAGGACUGUGGGAGUUCCCAUCUGUGACCUUGAAGCCCUUAGAGAAGCAUCAGUACAAGGCCCUGCUGCAGGAACUGCAGAAUUGGGCCGGGCCCCUCCCAGAGGGCUGCCUUUAGCACUUGGGGAGGCCCUCCCUGCAGGUGGUCCACAUCUUCUCUCACAUUAAGCCUGACAUACCAAGAAUAUGGUCUGGCCAUGGAGGAACAAACCCCAGUGACCAGCACACCACCUGACACUUGCUGGUUGACAUGGGAGGAAUUUCACACAGUAGCUGUCCUCACUGCCAUAAAAAAGGUGUUUCAUGUGUAUGAGGGGCAGCAGCCAGGGACAUGCAAGGGUUCCAAAAGGUCCCAGGUGUCCACUCCAUCCAGCUGGAAAAAGACCAGCCGGGGCCAGCAAGUCCUGGAUAGCUUCUUUCGGCCCUAUAUCUCCAUUGAUGCACCCAUCCCCAACACUGCAGCUGAGGAAUGGGGAGAGCCCACUCCUGAAAAUCCUGCUGUUAAUAAAGUACUUAUUUUUAUAGUCAUUUUGGAAAGCUUUAUACCUCUCCCUAACCCCCUCACUUGUAGUGAAGUCCAGCUUGGUCCUGACUUCUACACCUGA